GCCUAGCUAGCUUGGUCGGUAGCGCGUCUGCCUUGUAAGCGCUAGGCCGCGGGUUCGAUUCCCGCCCGGGGCG
rfam:Asian citrus Psyllid, Diaphorina citri - Florida Strain, whole genome shotgun sequence.